rnacentral:rRNA from 1 species
GAAGAACGCUAGCGGCAGGCCUUAUACAUGCAAGUCGAGGGGCAGCAUUUACUUCGGUAAAUGGCGACCGGCGCACGGGUGAGUAACGCGUAUGCAACCUACCUUUAACUGGGGCAUAGCUCGAGGAAACUCGAAUUAAUUCCCCAUAGUACAUUAUAAUAUCUCAUGAUAUAAAUGUUAAAGAUUUAUCGGUUAAAGAUGGGCAUGCGUCUGAUUAGUUUGUUGGUAAGGUAACGGCUUACCAAGACUACGAUCAGUAGGGGGUCUGAGAGGAUGAUCCCCCACACUGGUACUGAGACACGGACCAGACAUCUACGGAUGGCAGCAGUAAGGAAUAUUGGGCAAUGGGCGCAAGCCUGACCCAGCCAUGCCGCGUGCAGGAUGACGACCCUAUGGGUUG